UAGAUACAAAAUCUUCUUCUUCACCUACUAGCUACAGCUUGUUAUUCCAAAUCCUUUUUUUUUGUCUUGUUAUUCCAAGUCCUGAUUGAUUGUUGGUGGUGGUGGAAAGGAUUAUAUUAUGCCAACAAGAAGAUGUUAAAGGCAAUGAGUGAUGCAAUCACUCCAUUGGUGAUGUUCUUUUAGCAUCUAACUAUUGAUGAAGUCCUAAUUGAUUGUUGGUGGCGGUGGAAAUGAUUAUAUUAUGCCAACAUGAAGAUGUUAAAGGCAAUGAGUGAUGCAAUCACUCCAUUGGUGAUGUUCUUUUAACAUCUAACUAUUGAUGGAAGAUGAAAUCUUACAACAUUUGGAGAGCUGUUUGGUUUGCAUGCGUGCGAGUAGGCUAGGGAUUGGAUUCCAGAGGUGAAGACAUGGACUCAUUGGACAGCAUUUCAAAAUGAUGUUAACUGGUUAAUUUUGUGAAAAUUUCUCAAUGUACUUGAAGAGGUUAAUUAAACCGCAUUUCAAAUUAAUGAACAGAUGAUAACGAACAUUUUAUACUCA